CUUGCACCUUUCAAGCGAGUGGCGAACGGGUGAGUAACACGUGGAUAACCUGCCUCAAGGCUGGGGAUAACAUUUGGAAACAGAUGCUAAUACCGAAUAAAACUUAGUAUCGCAUGAUACAAAGUUGAAAGGCGCUACGGCGUCACCUAGAGAUGGGUCCGCGGUGCAUUAGUUAGUUGGUGGGGUAAAGGCCUACCAAGACAAUGAUGCAUAGCCGAGUUGAGAGACUGAUCGGCCACAUUGGGACUGAGACACGGCCCAAACUCCUACGGGAGGCUGCAGUAGGGAAUCUUCCACAAUGGGCGAAAGCCUGAUGGAGCAACGCCGCGUGUGUGAUGAAGGCUUUAGGGUCGUAAAGCACUGUUGUAUGGGAAGAAAUGCUAGAAUAGGGAAUGAUUCUAGUUCGACGGUACCAUACCAGAAAGGGACGGCUAAAUACGUGCCAGCAGCCGCGGUAAUACGUAUGUCCCGAGCGUUAUCCGGAUUUAUUGGGCGUAAAGCGAGCGCAGACGGUUGAUUAAGUCUGAUGUGAAAGCCCGGAGCUCAACUCCGGAAUGGCAUUGGAAACUGGUUAACUUGAGUGUUGUAGAGGUAAGUGGAACUCCUGGUGUAAAG
rnacentral:rRNA from 1 species